rnacentral:rRNA from 1 species
CCAAUAGCGUAUAUUAAAGUUGUUGUGGUUAAAAAGCUCGUAGUUGAACCUUGGGCCUGGCUGGCCGGUCCGCCUCACCGCGUGUACUGGUCCGGCCGGGCCUUUCCCUCUGUGGAACCCCAUGCCCUUCACCGGGUGUGGCGGGGAAACAGGACUUUUACUGUGAAAAAAUUAGAGUGCUCCAGGCAGGCCUAUGCUCGAAUAAAUUAGCAUGGAAUAAUAGAAUAGGACGUGUGGUUCUAUUUUGUUGGUUUCUAGGACCGCCGUAAUGAUUAAUAGGGACAGUCGGGGGCAUCAGUAUUCAAUUGUCAGAGGUGAAAUUCUUGGAUUUAUUGAAGACUAACUACUGCGAAAGCAUUUGCCAAGGAUGUUUUCAUUAAUCAGGAACGAAAGUUAGGGGAUCGAAGACGAUCAGAUACCGUCGUAGUCUUAACCAUAAACUAUGCCGACUAGGGAUCGGACGGUGUUAUUUUUUGACCCGUUCGGCACCUUACG